UCAAAACGUUCUCUUUGUAACAGAUGAUUGAAUGAAGUUUUACAGCUCUUUCAACAAUACGGUUCGUUGUACGCAGCAAGCUACUAACAGUCUAUUGGCAAUUCUGAUCUACUACAGAUAAAAUAAAUGUCUUGAUAUAAGAUUUUCUUCUAUACUAAAAAAAAAUGCUUAUAUAAACAUAUAGAUAGCAAACUUCAAAUAUGAAGUCACGUGAUGGUCUAAAACGAACGAAAGAUAGAAGAUUAAGGAUUCUUCCACCAAGUAAAACAAUAUUCCUGACUAUCAAAAACGACUGAAAUUGUCAGAAAACAAUUCGAAAAAGCCGAAUUUGAUCGUCAUCUUGAGCAAGACUAUACGUAGCAGACGACUUUUACGCACGUGAGCAGAAGCGAUCGUUGUCCUCCUAACGU